AAUGUGUAUAUACAGAAUAAAAAUAUGUUAUACUUAUAUUUGUUUUAUUAUAAUACAUUUUGUGAAAAUGACAAACAGUACGUCAACGAACAGACUUUUUUAUACAAACAAUAUAUUUUAUUAAAAAAAAAAAACACAAACAAAACAAUAUCUUUUUUAAAAAAUCAUGACAAAAGUGACACUAAUGUUUGUAACGGAAACAAUAGCAACAGAUACAACAACAAAAACGAUAACAUCGUCGGAGCAGUAAAAAUGUGCUUAAAUUUUAAUAACGUUGAAAAAAAAGAUGACACUACAUCUAUGUUCUAUUUCGGUAUAAAAGAUUAUUACUAUAUUAUAAAUCACCGCAUGUGUGUGUUAUUAUAUGCACAUAUAUGGAAAGCAGAAAUAUUUAAACUGAUGGUAAUGAUAAUAAAAAGAACAAUAGAUAUAAUGAUCAUAAUAACAAUAACAGUAAAGGUAAUAUUAAAAAUAUUAAUACAAGUAUUUUUCAGUUUUUACAUUACUCGUUUGGGUACACUGUUAUAUGAAUUAGCAUUAGUUGACAAUGAUAUAAUAGGCACAAAGACAUGUACAGGUAUUUAUAAAAAAAAAUCAGAAAAUUAUCAUAAAAAAUAUAUGAACAGUCUCAAUUUAUUUUGUAUAACGUAUAUAAAACGGAACAAAAAGGAUUACCAAAAAAGUAGUGGAAAUGGCAAUGGUAAUAUUCAAAAAUUAUAUCAUGUACAUAUAUGUUAUUACGAAAUGUCGGUGAAUAAAUUAUCCCAACGUGUGCAGAUUGUAAACAUAAUGAAAUGUGUUAUAUAUGAUACGUAUUAUGAGCAUUAUAAUAAUUUAACUAAUUUAAAUAAGACAAGUGUUAAAUAUGUAAAUAAUAACAAGAAAUGUAGUUAUUUAUUAAAAACAGGUAAUGGGUAUGUAAGUAGUAGUGGUGGAAGUAGUAGUAUUAGUGGUAGUAUUGGUAGUAAUAGUAGUAGUAGUAGUGGUAGUAGUUAUACCUUUUAUAUUUUACACGAUAGAUAUGAGCAUGUUGGUUGUAGUGGUAAUGUAAUAAAGAACAAUAUAUUAUUAACGGAUAACUUAUAUUUGCACAACCAUGAACAGACAAUUUUUUUAUUAAACAUUCGAGUAAUAAAGAAAACUUAUUCGUUGCGAUCUUUACCAAUUUUGAAUACAUUUUUGUAUGAACCGAGUAUAAAAUGUUCACUUGCUAUUAGUUUGUUCCCCAAUUCAGUUUUAUAUAUUUUUGAUAUAAUAAGAUUAUUUAGUAAUGGCGGUGAUAGUACACGUGUCGAUUGUAUAUGCAAUGAUUGUAUAUGCAAUGAUUGUAUAUGCAUUGAUUGCACAUGCGACAAUAUUAACGACACUAUAAUGAUGGAAGCAGUAUAUUAUAACCCUAACACUUCGUCAUAUAGUAACUCCCAUUUUGUUAUUAAUAUUUUAUUUACUACUACUAUAUUUUAUAAUAAAAUUAAUUAUUUUAUAGAAAAAAAAAAAAGAAAUUAUGAUUUUUCAAUAUUUGUUUUUUUUUUGUUGUUGUUAACAAUUUGUACUUUAAUAAUACCCCUUUUUUAUUUUUUUAAUAAUUUAAUAAGCCAUUCACUGUUACUUUUAUUAUUUGAAAAAAAAAAAACGAAAAAAAAAAAAAAAAAUAUAUAUAAUAAUAUAACAUUUGUACCUUCUAUUUAUGUUAAUUUUACCUAUCCUGUUAUUAUUAUUACUAUUGUUGUUAGUAACAUAUGUGGUAACAUUAUUGUGCCUAUAAUUACAGCUUGCUAUUCAGAUAAAAUGUGUAGAAUUCUAUCAAUAGAUAUAUAUAAUUAUAUAUUAUUAAAACAGAAACCAAUGAAUUGUUUUAUACGUGAAAAUAACUUUGCAUGCAACUUUAUUUUUGUUGUUAAAUAUAUUAUUGCAACAUCAUCCGCUUUUUUUGAUUUAGUUAACUUUG
rnacentral:lncRNA from 1 species